rfam:Bacillus thuringiensis serovar israelensis ATCC 35646 sq1884, whole genome shotgun sequence.
AAAACGACUAUGAAAGGACGAGUAGUAGUAGGACGUAGUUUAAGCGAGUCAGGGGUGGUGUGAGCCUGAUACGAAGCCUAUUAUGAAGAACCUCCUGGAGUUGCUAACCGAAAUCCUUUAUAGGAAAGUAGACUUAGCCGGGAACUUCGCCGUUACAAGAAGAACAGUAUCGAGAUAUUUUAUCUCCGUACUGUAUAAGUGAGCAACCUCUGUUGCUAAUUUGGGUGGUACCGCGGAACCAAAGCCUUUCGUCCCAGUU